rnacentral:rRNA from 1 species
UACGGGGGGGGCAAGCGUUGUUCGGAAUUACUGGGCGUAAAGGGCUCGUAGGCGGCCAACUAAGUCAGACGUGAAAUCCCUCGGCUUAACCGGGGAACUGCGUCUGAUACUGGAUGGCUAGAGGUUGGGAGAGGGAUGCGGAAUUCCAGGUGUAGCGGUGAAAUGCGUAGAUAUCGUAAGGAAGACCAGUGGCGAAGGCGGGUCUCGUGGACAGUUCCGUGACGCUGAGGCAGCGAAGGCCAGGGGAGCAAACGGG